AUGGCCCCGCGCUCCCGCUGGCCACGCCCCCGAGGGUCACGUGCCCAGGGCGGGCCCGCCCCAUCGUCCUCUCUGGCCACGCCCCCGGGGUCACGUGUCCCGAGCGGGCCCGCCCCUCGUUGGCCCGUUGUCCUCUCCGGCCACGCCCCCGAGGGGGGCACGUGCUCCGAAUGGACAGCCCCUAAAGACGCACGCGCUCCUGUUUGGCCACGCCCCUUGCGGUCACGGGCCCCGAGUGGGCCCGCCCCAUUGGUCCACCGCCCGCUCUGGCCACGCCCCCGAUUGUUACGUGUUCCGAGUAGACACGCCCCCAGGGCUCACGUGCUCCCGGGGGGCUCGGGGCCCCCCCGACGGUCACGUGUCCCGGUGGGCCCGCCCCCAUGGAUCCAUCGUCCUCUCAGACCACGCCCCCGACGGGCACGUGCUCCGAGUGGACACGCCCCCAUUGACCCCUCGUUCUCUCUGGCCCCGCCCCCGAUGGGCACGUGCUCUGAAUGGCCCCGCCCCCAGAGGUCGCGCGCUCUCGCCCGCCACGCCCCCCCCGACGGUCAGGUGCACCGAAUGGACUCGCCUCAAAUGCGCACGCUCCCGAUGGCCACGCCCCCAUCGGCCCACCGCCCUCUGGCCACGCCCCUACGGUCACGUGCUCCGGCUGGCCCCGCCCCCGAGCGUCACGCCCAAUGCGGCCUCGCCCACGCGCCUCCGCUCGUCACGCCCCCUAUGGUCACGUGCCCCGGCCCCAUUGGUCCGCCGCCCUCUGACCACGCCCCAGAUGCUCACGCGCCCCCGAUGGCCACGCCCCCAUCGGCCCACCGCCCUCUGGCCACGCCCCUGCGGUCAAGUGCUCUCGAUGGUCACCCCCUAGGCGACCGCGCCCCCAUCCACCACGCGCCUUCGCUCGCCAGGCCCCCGAGGGUCAUGGGCUCCACCCUCAUUGGCCCAUCGCCCUCUCUGGCCACGCCCCUAUGGUCACGUGCCCCGCGUGGGCCCGCCCUCAUUGGCCCACCGCUCUUCCCUGGCCCCGCCCCUACGGUCACGUGCUCCGAGUGGACCCGCCCCCAGGGCUCACGUGCUCCCGAUGGCCCCGCCUCAUUGGUCCACCGCCCCCUCUGGCCACGCCCCUGA
rnacentral:lncRNA from 1 species